rnacentral:rRNA from 1 species
AACAAAAACAUGUCUUUUUGAAAUAAAUUUAAAGUCUAACCUGCCCACUGAAAUUUUUAAAUGGCCGCAGUAUUCUAACUGUGCAAAGGUAGCAUAAUCAUUAGUCUUUUAAUUGAAGGCUGGAAUGAAUGGUUGGACGAAAUAUUAACUGUUUCAUUUGAAUUUUUUAUAGAAUUUUAUUUUUUAGUCAAAAAGCUAAAAUUUAUUUAAAAGACGAGAAGACCCUAUAAAUCUUUAUAUUUUGUUUAUUUUAAUUAUAAAGAUUAUUUUUAUUAUAAUAAAUUAAAAUAUUUUAUUGGGGUGAUAUUAAAAUUUAAAAAACUUUUAAUUUUUUAAACCAUUAAUAUAUGAAUAAUUGAUCCAUUAAUAAUGAUUAAAAAUUUAAGUUACUUUAGGGAUAACAGCGUAAUUUUUUUGGAGAGUUCAUAUCGAUAAAAAAGAUUGCGACCUCGAUGUUGGAUUAAGAUAUAAUUUUGGGUGNAGCCGUNCAAAUUUUAAGUCUGUUCGACUUUUAAAUUCUUACGUGAUCUGAGUUCAAACCGGA